CCUGGAGGACAAGAGUUUGAAGAGAAACAGAAAGCAGCUCUUAACCCUGCGAGGCUGGACUCACCUGGAAGCACGCUAACACAACACACUGCGGCCCGCCCGCCCACUGGGCAGAGGAGGAACCGGAGGCCCAGAGUGGGCUGGCCUGUCACAGUCCUGGGGGAAAUGGAUUGCCUGUGUAGCUCGGAGCCUGGGCUCAGCCCAGUGUCAGCCUACCCUUGCAACCCUUCCAGAAGCUGGAAUUCAAUGUUCCCAUUUUCACAAGAAUAUGAAGGUGAAGUAAGGAGUUUUCAUAAGCAAUGGUGAAGUGUGCAUGGCUGUGAAGAGGGGCCAGGUGGAGGCACCUUCGUCACUGGGCUUGGAGAGGUUAAGCACGGUGCCCAGGGUCCCACUGGGACGUGGCAGAGCCGGUCCUGCACCCAGUGCCCACGGAAGAAAGGACAUCGUGUGGACCAAGGACAGCGUGGUGUCUGCAGGAGACACCCGCCAAAGCAUCGUGACAAAGUGAAACAGAAGACCUGACAAGGCCAACACUUUGAGAAUGUCCAACAGAACGCCACAUGAACUGGACACAGGAGGCCUGGCGUGGGCAGUGAUCAGCAGGACGCUCAGCGAUGCCAUCCACGGCCGGGCACAGGUCACACGCCGGCAUCACGGCCAUGGCUGCAUAGAACUGCCUUUGCAUUUCCUUCUCCAAAGCACAGUUUAAGGCUACUAUGUCAGCGAGUCCUCCACACAAGAAUCUUUUAGGUUAAGAGUUGGGUAAGGCACCGUGCAGCGUGCUGGGGGAGAAAUGCCCACUCGAAGCUCAGGCCCAGGUCAGGCUGCACCUGAAGCUCAUUUCCAAAGUUUUCUUUUGAAUAUAUUUGCUGA